CAAGGAGUAGUUUAAAUAGAAUUUCAGCUUUGGGUGCUGAAGGUGAGGCUUGUGCCUUCUCCUUGA
rnacentral:tRNA from 1 species